AUUGAACGCUGGCGGCAUGCCUUACACAUGCAAGUCGAACGGUAACAGGUCUUCGGAUGCUGACGAGUGGCGAACGGGUGAGUAAUACAUCGGAACGUGCCCGAGAGUGGGGGAUAACGAAGCGAAAGCUUUGCUAAUACCGCAUACGAUCUCAGGAUGAAAGCAGGGGACCGCAAGGCCUUGCGCUCACGGAGCGGCCGAUGGCAGAUUAGGUAGUUGGGGGAUAAAAGCUUACCAAGCCGACGAUCUGUAGCUGGUCUGAGAGGACGACCAGCCACACUGGGACUGAGACACGGCCCAGACUCCUACGGGAGGCAGCAGUGGGGAAUUUUGGACAAUGGGCGCAAGCCUGAUCCAGCCAUGCCGCGUGCAGGAUGAAGGCCU
rnacentral:rRNA from 1 species